rnacentral:rRNA from 1 species
CCUACGGGUGGCAGCAGUGAGGAAUAUUGGUCAAUGGCCGGAAGGCUGAACCAGCCAUGCCGCGUGAAGGUCAGUGCCCUAUGGGCGUUAAACUUCUUUUGUGCGGGAGCAAUAAUGGUCACGUGUGGCCAGACGAGAGUACCGUACGAAUAAGCAUCGGCUAACUCCGUGCCAGCAGCCGCGGUAAUACGGGGGAUGCAAGCGUUAUCCGGAUUUAUUGGGUUUAAAGGGUGCGUAGGCUGUGAGGUAAGUCAGCGGUGAAAUGCCCCCGCGCAACGGGGUGAAGUGCCAUUGAUACUGGCUUGCUGGAGUGAGAAUGAGGUGGGAGGAAUGUGUGGUGUAGCGGUGAAAUGCAUAGAUAU